CUGAAAAGCUUAUCGAAGGGA
rnacentral:miRNA from 1 species